rnacentral:rRNA from 1 species
GACGAACGCUGGCGGCGUGCUUAACACAUGCAAGUCGAACGGAAAGGCCCUGCUUUUGUGGGGUGCUCGAGUGGCGAACGGGUGAGUAACACGUGAGUAACCUGCCCUUGACUUUGGGAUAACUUCAGGAAACUGGGGCUAAUACCGGAUAGGAGCUCCUGCUGCAUGGUGGGGGUUGGAAAGUUUCGGCGGUUGGGGAUGGACUCGCGGCUUAUCAGCUUGUUGGUGGGGUAGUGGCUUACCAAGGCUUUGACGGGUAGCCGGCCUGAGAGGGUGACCGGCCACAUUGGGACUAAGAUACGGCCCAGACUCCUACGGGAGGCAGCAGUGGGGAAUAUUACACAGUGGGCGGAAGCCUGAUGCAGCAACGCCGCGUGCGGAAUGACGGCCUUCGGGUUAUAAACCGCUUUGGCCUGUGACGAAGCGUGAGUGACGGUAAUGGGUAAAGAAGCACCGGCUAACUACGUG